rnacentral:rRNA from 1 species
GACGAACGCUGGCGGCGUGCCUAAUACAUGCAAGUAGAACGCUGAAGGAGGAGCUUGCUUCUCUGGAUGAGUUGCGAACGGGUGAGUAACGCGUAGGUAACCUGCCUGGUAGCGGGGGAUAACUAUUGGAAACGAUAGCUAAUACCGCAUAAGAGUAGAUGUUGCAUGACAUUUGCUUAAAAGGUGCAAUUGCAUCACUACCAGAUGGACCUGCGUUGUAUUAGCUAGUUGGUGGGGUAACGGCUCGCCAAGGCGACGAUACAUAGCCGACCUGAGAGGGUGAUCGGCCACACUGGGACUGAGACACGGCCCAGACUCCUACGGGAGGCAGCAGUAGGGAAUCUUCGGCAAUGGACGGAAGUCUGACCGAGCAACGCCGCGUGAGUGAAGAAGGGUGUCGGAUCGUAAAGCUCUGUUGUAAGAGAAGAACGAGUGUGAGAGUGGAAAGUUCACACUGUGACGGUAUCUUACCAGAAAGGGACGGCUAACUACGUG